GGACGGUAGCAUAGAGGAGUUUGUUCCUUGGGAGACGAGUGGCGCGCGGGAGUGAAGUGUGUGGGUCUCUGCCCGAUAGAGGGGGACCCCUGUGGAAACGGUGUCUAAUACCGCAUAGCGGCAAGAGACCAAAGAGGGAGACUUUCGGCUCUCUCUCUAUCGUAUGACCCCAUAUGAUUUUAUCUAAUACGCGGGGAAGUGCCCCCCCUAGGAGAAGAUCCCUAUGUGCUCUGAGAAGAUGACCAGACACUGUGGAUGUGAGACACUCUCCAGACUUCUACGAGGGGCAGCAGUGGAGUAUAUUGCACAGUGGGCGCAAGCGUGAUGCCCCUGUCGCGUGUGUAUGAAAAGGCUCCUCGUGGUGAAAAAGUAUUCUCAGCGGGGAGGAGGGAGAGGGUUAUAAUACCCGUGUCGAUUGGUGUCACCCGCAAAAAAAACCGGGUAUAUCUCUGCGCCAGGCGCCCGGGAAUAAUACGGGGGGGACACGUGAUUCUCAAAAAUUAGGGGGCGUAAAGCCCCCGCGGGGGGCUCUGAUAACCAAGAUGAAAACCCCCGGGGGUUAUAACUGGGAAAAUCUGUUUUUUGAAUUGUGGCAGGUUUUGACUUUUUUGUAAGGGGGGGGGAAAAAUCUUCCGGGGGUGUAGCGGAGAAAAUGCCGUAAGAACAUCUGGGAAAAAAUCCCCGGUUGAAGAACGCGCCCCCUUGGACAAAAAGAACUGACCGUCCAGUUGCGAAAGCGUGGGGGAGCAAUCAGGAUAGAAUACCCUGGGUAGUCACGCCGGUAAAACGAUGUCGACUUGGAGGUUGUUCCCUUGAGGAGUGGCUUCCCGGAGCUAACGCGUUAAGUCGACCGCCUGGGGAGUACGGCCGCAAGGGUUAAAACUCAAAUGAAAUUGACGGGGGCCCGCACAAGCGGUGGAGCAUGUGGUUUAAAUUCGAUGCAACGCGAAGAACCCUUACCUACUCUUGACAUCCAGCCGAACUUUGGCAGAGAUGGCCUUAGGUGCCUUCGGGAACGCGUGAGACAGGUGCUGCAUGGCUGUCGUCAGCUCGUGUUGUGAAAUGUUGGGUUAAGUCCCGCAACGAGCGCAACCCUUAUCCUUUGUUGCCAGCGAUUCGGUCGGGAACUCAAAGGAGACUGCCGGUGAUAAACCGGAGGAAGGUGGGGAUGACGUCAAGUCAUCAUGGCCCUUACGAGUAGGGCUACACACGUGCUACAAUGGCGCAUACAAAGAGAAGCGACCUCGCGAGAGCAAGCGGACCUCACAAAGUGCGUCGUAGUCCGGAUCGGAGUCUGCAACUCGACUCCGUGAAGUCGGAAUCGCUAGUAAUCGUGGAUCAGAAUGCCACGGUGAAUACGUUCCCGGGCCUUGUACACACCGCCCGUCACACCAUGGGAGUGGGUUGCAAAAGAAGUAGGUAGCUUAACCUUCGGGAGGGCGCUUACCACUUUGUGAUUCAUGA
rnacentral:rRNA from 1 species